UACAGAGGGGGCAAGCGUUGUGCGGAAUUACUGGGCGUAAAGGGCGCGUAGGCGGCCCGCUAAGUCGAACGUGAAAUCCCCGGGCUCAACCCGGGAACUGCGUCCGAUACUGGCAGGCUUGAAUCCGGGAGAGGGAUGCGGAAUUCCAGGUGUAGCGGUGAAAUGCGUAGAUAUCUGGAGGAACACCGGUGGCGAAGGCGGGUCUCUGGGCAGUAACUGACGCUGAGGAGCGAAAGCGUGGGGAGCGAACAGG
rnacentral:rRNA from 1 species